GCCAGACUCCUACGGGAGGCAGCAGUGAGGAAUAUUGGUCAAUGGGCGCGAACCUGAACCAGCCAAGUCGCGUGAGGGAUGACGGUCCUACGGAUUGUAAACCUCUUUUGCCGGGGAGCAAGCGUGCGUUCGUGAACGCGCGUCGAGAGUACCCGGAGAAAAAGCAUCGGCUAACUCCGUGCCAGCAGCCGCGGUAAUACGGAGGAUGCGAGCGUUAUCCGGAUUUAUUGGGUUUAAAGGGUGCGUAGGCGGGAUGCCAAGUCAGGGGUAAAAAUGCGGUGCUCACCGCCGUCGAGCCGUUGAAACUGGGUGCCUUGAGUGGGCGAGAAGUACGCGGAAUGCGUGGUGUAGCGGUGAAAUGCAUAGAUAUCACGCAGAACUCCGAUUGCGAAGGCAGCAUACCGGCGCGCAACUGACGCUCAUGCACGAAAGCGUGGGUAUCGAACAGGAUUAGAUACCCGCGUA
rnacentral:rRNA from 1 species